rnacentral:rRNA from 1 species
GACGAACCGAGCGAACGUUGUUCGGAAUCACUGGGCUUAAAGGGCGCGUAGGCGGGUGCUCAAGUCCGGGGUGAAAUCCUCCAGCUCAACUGGAGAACUGCCUCGGAUACUGGGUGCCUCGAGGGUGGUAGGGGUAUGCGGAACUAUCGGUGGAGCGGUGAAAUGCGUUGAUAUCGAUAGGAACUCCGGUGGCGAAGGCGGCUCACUGGUCCGGUACUGACGCUGAGGUGCGAAAGCGUGGGGAGCAAACAGG